CUAAUGUUAAGUUGACAACAACAUGGUAGAAGUGUUGGCUCACUGCAGCCUUUCCAGAUGUCCCUCCUUGACCUUCUCAGGAGACAUGUCUAUUGAAUCUAUCAUGUUGGAUCCCAGAGGAUAAGUCUUUAUUUCCAACAUGUGCACUGUGGCCCUAUCAACCAGGAGAAUAUCUCAGGAGUCUCCCAAAGUUGUUAGCAUGAAACGGA
rnacentral:lncRNA from 1 species